rnacentral:lncRNA from 1 species
CGUAAGGCUCCUCCUCCCGCCGCGGGUUGCUCCUCUGCACGUGUGCCCGGGCCCCGCCCCACACCGCCAGUGCUUUGGCCGCUUGGGCGCCUCCUCCCGCGCAGAGAUGGCGCACGACCCCGCAGAAUCAUAGCAAGUGCUGUUGUCAGUGGCCUUCUAAUCCAGGACUGCCAUAUUGCAAGAACACAUGGGCCCCAAAGCAAAAUCUGAAUAGAUUCAGCCAGUGAAAAAGGUGAUUUUUGAAGAAUGAUCAAGAAUUCUUGCAAGACACUUAAGACUGUUUUACAGAGGAGUAUUGUAACCGAGAAUUUAUAAUAACAGCAUCUCAGACAUGUUGAAAAAGAUGUUUUGAUCCCUAAAAUUAUGAGAGAAAAGGCCCGAGAGAGGUGCUCUGAACAAGUUCAAG